AAAAAGGGUGCUCGCUACUUUAAUAGCGCGUUGGUUCGUUACGCGAACUAGCGGGGUAUGGCUAUCAAGACAUACCCAGUACGUAAUUUUUGUAAUCGUGAGGCUGUUAGCUGCCAGAUGCACUGACGCCUCC